rnacentral:rRNA from 1 species
CGCGUAGGUGGUAGUGUAAGUCUGGGGUGGAAUGCCGGGGCUUAACCCUGGAAUUGCCUUGGAAACUGCAUUACUUGAGUCAGUGAGGGGAGGGUAGAAUUCCUGGUGUAGCGGUGAAAUGCGUAGAUAUCAGGAGGAAGGCCUGUGGCGAAGGUGGCCCUCUGGCGCUGGACUGACACUGAGGCGCGAAAGCGUGGGGAGCAAACAGGAUUAGAUACCCUGGUAGUCCACGCCCUAAACGGUGGGCACUAGGUGUAGGGCUCGUAAGGGUUCUGUGCCGAAGGGAAACCAUUAAGUGCCCCGCCUGGGGAGUACGGCCGCAAGGUUGAA